UACGUAGGGCGCGAGCGUUGUCCGGAAUUAUUGGGCGUAAAGAGCUCGUAGGCGGCCUGUUGCGUCCGCUGUGAAAUCCCGAGGCUCAACCCUGGGCGUGCAGUGGAUACGGGCAGGCUGGAGGCAGGCAGGGGAGAACGGGAAUUCCCGGUGAUGAGCGGUGAAAUGCGCAGAUAUCGGGAGGAACGACCGGUGGCGAAGGCGGUUCUCUGGGCCGUGUACUGACGCUGAGGA
rnacentral:rRNA from 1 species